UCGGUUAAGUCCCGCAACGAGCGCAACCCUUAUCUUCAGUUACCAUCAUUAGUUGGGGACUCUGGAGAGUACUGCCCCGGUUAACGGGGAGGAAGGUGGGGAUGACGUCAAGUCCUCAUGGCCUUUAUAUCCAGGGCUACACACGUGCUACAAUGGUCCGUACAAAGGGUUGCAAGCCUGCGAGGGUGAGCUAAUCCCGAAAAGCGGAUCUCAGUUCGGAUUGGAGUCUGCAACUCGACUCCAUGAAGUUGGAAUCGCUAGUAAUCGUGGAUCAGCAUGCCACGGUGAAUACGUUCCCGGGCCUU
rnacentral:rRNA from 1 species